CAAAUUAGAGCUUGACUAAAAAGUAUUUUAUUUACAUUAAAAAGUUAAUUGUGGAAAUCAAUUUAAUUUGA
rnacentral:tRNA from 1 species